rnacentral:lncRNA from 1 species
UGUACUCAAGAAAAGAAAAUGCAGAUUGUCAGAAUCCUUCAAAUUUGAUACUCAGCACUGUUAUGAUCUCUUCAUUACCGGAUAUGGAAUCUGGAUAUCAGAACUGAUAUAGUGAAGUACUCCUCUAUUAAACUGAGGACCAACCUAAAAUCAGCAAAGUAACACCGGGCCUAACACAAUCAGGAAAUCUGCGUCUCUUAGAGUGAAAAGCAGCCAACCUGUCUGUCUUCUGCCCUGUCCCAAAACCUCAAUGUAAGUAGUUAGCUUUUGUAACGUAAGCUUUGCAAUCCUAAGAGAGUUCUAUGUAAUGCCAAAAACAAAGCACAAUGGCUUAAAACUGAAGUUGUC